UACGUAGGGCGCAAGCGUUGUCCGGAAUUAUUGGGCGUAAAGAGCUCGUAGGCGGUCUGUUACGUCCGCUGUGAAAACCCAGGGCUUAACCCUGGGCUUGCAGUGGAUACGGGUAGACUAGAGGCAGGUAGGGGAGAAUGGAAUUCCCGGUGUAGCGGUGAAAUGCGCAGAUAUCGGGAAGAACACCCGUGGCGAAGGCGGUUCUCUGGGACGGUACUGACGCUGAGACGCGAAAGCGUGGGGAGCGAACAGG
rnacentral:rRNA from 1 species